GACAGAGGGUGCAAACGUUUGUUCGGAAUUACUGGGCGUAAAGCGCGUGUAGGCGGCUAAGUAAGUCGGGCGUGAAAUCCCACGGCUCAACCGUGGAAGUGCACUCGAAACUGCAUAGCUAGAGUCCUGGAGAGGAAGGUGGAAUGCUUGGUGUAGAGGUGAAAUUCGUAGAUAUCAAGCGGAACACCGGUCGGCGAAGGCGGGCCUUACUGGACAGUGA
rnacentral:rRNA from 1 species